rnacentral:lncRNA from 1 species
AAAGACUAUUCUGCCCCCCCUGGACCAUGAUGCCCAUUUCUUGAUUAGGUUAGGAUACUCAUUUUUCGCACAUGGGUUCUGCGACCAUUAUGCGUUCACAAAGGCUAAAAAAAAUUGGUGGAUACAACACAGGGAAACAUCAUUCAUUUAUUAACAUCUAACAAACAUAGUACAGAGUAACAGAAACAUAAGACAUGAGAAACAUACAUAGGAUCAUCUACAAUAUUGAUAAGCAGGUGGUUGAGAUAGGCCGAUAACAUGUUUUAGUCACUUAACUAGAAGCAACUGCUGCCUCGGAGCUGUACCAGCCAAUGCUGAAGUCGAAUGUGAUGCAUGUCAACUCCUUUUUGUUAGCAUCUUGCAGCUUCAUUUGGAGUGUAUACGAACCCUGGAGGUGUUACUGAAGGCAAUGAUUGGGAGUGAGAGAUUGCAAAGUCACCAGUGGUAACAGGGCAAGAUGUCUUGGUGCAGAGGUCACUAGUCUCACUAUAGACCCCAAAAAAGUAGUAUGAAACAUCGAUCACAAGGUUCCCUCCAGAGAUUGUAUUUGACAUCGAUGGCGUCCGCAAAAGGUGCGAUCAGUGAAAUCGAGCAAAGGAGGAUGACGAACAACUUGCUUUGAAUUCCUGCCAUUGGAUAUUCGAUUGAUCGAUGAUUUUGAGUGUGUGUUUGUGUGUGAGAUUACGUGUUUAUAACGACUGUCAGUCG